UGUUCCGGGGACGGUGAAAUUCCGUACCGGCGGUGACAGUCCGCGACCCGCCAGCUUCAUGCCGGCGGCUGAUUCGGUGAAAUUCCGAGACCGACAGUCAGAGUCUGGAUGGGAGGAG
rnacentral:ncRNA from 1 species